GAGACAUUAUGGCAGACACUGAGACACUAAGGGAGACUGAGAGACAUUAUGGCAGACACUGAGACACUAAAGGACAUUAGGAGACAUUAUGGCAGACACUGAGACACUAAGGGACAUUGGGAGACACAUUAUGGCAGACGCUGGGACACUAAGGGACAUUGGGAGACAUUAUGGCAGACACUGAGACACUACGGGACAUUGGGAGACAUUAUGGCAGACGCUGGGACACUAAGGGACAUUGGGAGACAAUAUGGCAGACACUGAGACACUAAGGGACAUUGGGAGACAUUAUGGCAGACACUGAGACCCUAAGGGACAUUGGGAGACAUUAUGGCAGACACUGAGACACUAAGGGACAUUGGGAGACAAUAUGGCAGACACUGAGACACUAAGGGACAUUGGGAGACAUUAUGGCAGACACUGAGACACUAAGGGACACUGGGAGACAUUAUGGCAGACACUGAGACACUAAGGGACAUUGGGAGACAUUAUGGCAGAC